rnacentral:lncRNA from 1 species
GCAUGCAUGGCUCGAGCAGCUUCUUGACACUUUGGCUUUUUCACAUCCUGCAUGCAGGCCAACUUCAACACAAACAUUGAACAAACUCAUUUUAGCUCUCUUAGCUAAAUCACAAGCUGCCCAUUCAGUUUCUUAUAUGGCUAAUUAGCUCCCAUUCAUGCCAAUUAAUUCCAACUGCAUGUAGACACCUUAGAAGCUGUCCAAUGGC